ACACUUUAAUUCAGCUGUUCAUUAUGCAGGUAUCAGUGGCGAUCCUUCAAAGAACUCGAUUCCCACCGGCUUGUCUAAUUUCAGCCCGUUGAGUACUUUCACGAUCGGUUCAUGGAGAAAAGGAAAGCAAAAUUAGCUCCGGGUUCCCUACGAAUAUUUGUGACGCGCCAUCACUGGUAGGUAUAAAAGUUAAAAUAAUAGAAUACAGUAAGAAAACUAGUAGAUACUAUAUCGCAAAUAUUAUCAGUCGCAUAAUGCUACAGAAAAUUAUGAUGUCGCCACCCGCGGUCAUCACGUCGUGGUUAUGCGGCCUUGUCAUCACAAUUUAUAAAGAGACGUUAAAAAUAGACGGCAUUGCAGAUCUCAUCUAAACUUGGUUACAAUAUAACAGGUCGGCCAUUGUUCUUUCAUGUUGUUUGCAUUUCUGAUGGAGGAUGUGCUGCGGCGCCGGAGCGCGCGGUAUGGCUGGAAUCGGCGCUGCCUGCGCCCGCGCCGCUCCCACGACCACGGCCACUGAAUCACGCGCAUCUACAGCGAUAUGCUUACAUAUUACGCGUGCAGCAGACACGAUUAAAUCGGUUGAAUCUGAUGGGAAUUCGAGACAUUUCUACUAAUAAAUUGUUGUUUGGUUUAA